CAGGAAGCACUGAUGGACAUACCGAAUAUUAAAAAUGGGAAUGGCGUUCAUCAAAUGGUAAUGGAGUUCAUCGAAGUAAAAAUCGCAGGAAGCACUGAUGGACAUACCGAAUAUUGAAAAUGGGAAUGGCGUUCAUCAAAUGGUAAUGACGUUCAUGAAAGUAAAUAUCGCAGGAAGCACAGAUGGACAUACCGAAAAUCUAAAAUGGGAAUGGCGUUCACCAAAAGGUAAUGGAGUUCAUCGAAGUAAAAAACGCAGGAAGCACUGAUGGACAUACCGAAUAUUAAAAAUGGGAAUGGCGUUCAUCAAAUGGUAAUGACCUUCAUCGAAGUAAAAAUCGCAGGAAGCACUGAUGGACAUACCGAAUAUUAAAAAUGGGAAUGGCGUUCAUCAAAUGGUAAUGACGUUCAUCAAAGUAAAAAUCGCAGGAAGCACUGAUGGACAUACCGAAUAUUAAAAAUGGGAAUGGCGUUCAUCAAAUGGUAAUGACGUUCAUC